rnacentral:rRNA from 1 species
AUUGAACGCUGGCGGCAUGCUUUACACAUGCAAGUCGAACGGCAGCACAGGGAGCUUGCUCCCGGGUGGCGAGUGGCGCACGGGUGAGUAAUACAUCGGAACGUGUCCUGUUGUGGGGGAUAACUGCUCGAAAGGGUGGCUAAUACCGCAUGAGACCUGAGGGUGAAAGCGGGGGAUCGCAAGACCUCGCGCAAUUGAAGCGGCCGAUGCCCGAUUAGCUAGUUGGUGAGGUAAAGGCUCACCAAGGCGACGAUCGGUAGCUGGUCUGAGAGGACGACCAGCCACACUGGGACUGAGACACGGCCCAGACUCCUACGGGAGGCAGCAGUGGGGAAUUUUGGGACAAUGGGGGGCAACCCUGAUCCAGCCAUGCCGCGUGCAGGAUGAAGGCCUUCGGGUUGUAAACUGCUUUGUCAGGGACGAAAGGACCGUGUUAAUACCAUGGUCUGCUGACGGUACCUGAAGAAUAAGACACCGGCUAACUACGUCG